rnacentral:rRNA from 1 species
AGCGAACGCUGGCGGCAGGCCUAACACAUGCAAGUCGAACGAACCUUUCGGGGUUAGUGGCGGACGGGUGAGUAACACGUGGGAACGUGCCUUUAGGUUCGGAAUAACUCAGGGAAACUUGUGCUAAUACCGAAUGUGCCCUUCGGGGGAAAGAUUAAUCGCCUUUAGAGCGGCCCGCGUCUGAUUAGCGAGUUGGUUUAGGUAAUGGCUCACCAAGGCGACUAUCAGUAGCUGGUCUGAGAGGAUGAUCAGCCACAUUGGGACUGAGACACGGCCCAAACUCCUACGGGAGGCAGCAGUGGGGAAUCUUGCGCAAUGGGCGAAAGCCUGACGCAGCCAUGCCGCGUGAAUGAUGAAGGUCUUAGGAUUGUAAAAUUCUUUCACCGGGGACGAUAAUGACGGUACCCGGAGAAGAAGCCCCGGCUAACUUCGUG